ACCGCGAUAGGUCAAGAUUUCUGGAAUGGAUCCUGGCUUAAAUCUACAUGGCCCCUGGAUUGGACUGCGGCCGAUCAGGCUGUUGGUGAGGUAAUGGCCCACCAAACCUAUAACCGGUACGGGCUCUGAGAGGAGAAGCCCGGAGAUGGGCACUGAGACAAGGGCCCAGGCCCUAUGGGGCGCAGCAGGCGCGAAACCUCUGCAAUGGGCGAAAGCCUGACAGGGUUACUCUGAGUGAUUUCCGCUAAGGAGAUCUUUUGGCAGCUCUAAAAAUGGUGCAGAAUAAGGGGUGGGCAAGUCUGGUGUCAGCCGCCGCGGUAAUACCAGCACCCCGAGUGGUCGGGACGAUUAUUGGGCCUAAAGCAUCCGUAGCCGGUUGUGCAAGUCCUCCGUUAAAUCCAGCCGCUCAACGGAUGGGCUGCGGAGGAUACUACAGGACUAGGAGGCGGGAGAGGCAAGCGGUACUUAGUGGGUAGGGGUAAAAUCCUUUGAUCCAUUGAAGACCACCAGUGGCGAAGGCGGCUUGCCAGAACGCGCUCGACGGUGAGGGAUGAAAGCUGGGGGAGCAAACCGGAUUAGAUACCCGGGUAGUCCCAGCUGUAAACGAUGCAGACUCGGUGAUGGGCUAGCCUCGUGUCAGCCCAGUGCCGCAGGGAAGCCGUUAAGUCUGCCGCC
rnacentral:rRNA from 1 species